CACCAGGCUUGGGGUGCUGUCUUUGUUGUUAGCAACAAAAGGGGAAAUGGAAUGUUUGAAGUAAAAUGUUUCAGGUAUUCCGUAUGUGGAUUCAUUUUUCACUAACCUCCUAGAAUCUUCUGGACUUUUGUAGAAUCUCGCAGAACCUUCCGAGCUUUCUGAGAACUACAUUUCCCUUGAACCUCCUAGAAUAUUUUCAGCCUUUUAACAAAUGGAGGGUGGGGCACUGAAG